rnacentral:rRNA from 1 species
UGGGGGAAACCCUGAUCCAGCGACGCCGCGUGUGUGAAGAAGGCCUUCGGGUUGUAAACCACUGUCGCGAGGGACGAAGAUCUGACGGUACCUCGAAAGGAAGCACCGGCUAACUCUGUGCCAGCAGCCGCGGUAAUACAGAGGGUGCGAGCGUUGUCCGGAAUUACUGGGCGUAAAGGGCGCGUAGGCGGUCCGAUAAGUAGGGGGUGAAAUCUCACGGCUCAACCGGGAGGCUGCCUUCUAGACUGUCGGACUUGAGCACGGUAGAGGCAGAUGGAAUUCCCGGUGUAGCGGUGGAAUGCGUAGAGAUCGGGAAGAACACCAGUGGCGAAGGCGGUCUGCUGGGCCGUUGCUGACGCUGAGGCGCGAAAGCUAGGGGAGCAAACGGGAUUAGAUACCCCGGUAGUCCUAGCCCUAAACGAUGGAUACUUGGUGUGUUGGGUAUUUAAGUCCCAGCGUGCCGGAGCUAACGCGUUAAGUAUCCCGCCUGGGGAGUACGGUCGCAAGGCUG